UGAGGAAUAUUGGGCAAUGCCCGCAAGGGUGACCCAGCAACGCCGCGUGGAGGAUGAAUGUCGUAAGAUUGUAAACUCCUGUUAGAGGGGAAGAAUAGUACCGGUUGGACCGGUAUAUGACUGUACCCUCAGAGAAAGCCCCGGCUAACUACGUGCCAGCAGCCGCGGUAAUACGUAGGGGGCAAGCGUUGUCCGGAUUUACUGGGUGUAAAGGGCGCGCAGGCGGGAUAAAAAGUCAGUGGUGAAAUCCUACAGCUUAACUGUUGAACUGCCUUUGAUACUUUUAUUCUUGAGUUCGGGAGAGAGAGACGGAAUUCCAGGUGUAGUGGUGAAAUACGUAGAUAUCUGGAAGAACACCAGUUGCGAAGGCGGUCUCUUGGUCCGACACUGACGCUGAGGCGCGAAAGCGUGGGGAGCAAACA
rnacentral:rRNA from 1 species